rnacentral:rRNA from 1 species
AUGCCCCGCCACCUUGAUCAAGUUUUCUCCUUACCAGUUGUAGGCUCUGCAGGCGGAACCAUCUCUGUCGUUAACCCUGCCUUCUUUCAAGUAAUCUCCUUCUCACACCUGUCCUUCUCCUCAACCCUGAUCUUGCGAUCUACGAUAAACGACCGUAACAUAGCCAUCACUAACAUUUACGCUCCCUCUUCACGUGCUCUCAAGCAACAAUUCCUCGAUGAAUUAUUACUUAUUGCCCAACCAGAUGACUCACCCUGGCUUCUCGUUGGUGACUUCAACCUCCUCCGGUUCCCCUCAGACAAAAACAACGCAGCUUUUAGACACGUAGAGGCCAACGCAUUUAACCAAACUAUUAAUGAACUGGCACUCAUCGAGCUACCUCUUCUCGACCGACAAUUCACAUGGUCUAAC